rnacentral:lncRNA from 1 species
AGUGCAUUUGAAAACUCCCCUUGCACCAGGGCUGACUGUAGCUGGGGGAAGACAUUUUACUCAUUUGCUCUUUCCUUUCAUACAGUCAGCUGGUCCCUCUUCUCAGGUGUAGAUCACCUAUUAUAAUUUUACCUAAUUUUGAUACUCUGAUAAGGAAAGUCCCAGGACUUAUCAGCUGGGAUAGGCCUCACUUACAAGACAGCUCUGUUCAGUAUUUGGAAGAAAGCCUGACAGGUUUCUUCGGAAAAGUGGCCAUCCAUGGAAUGAAUGAAAUGUUCUCUUUCUAUUCCAGGGAUUGCAGUGGCAAAGCUAGGCUAGGUCUUGGAGGCUGGUGUAAGGCGAUGUGGGUGAAGGCAGGAGGCUGAUGGAAAGACUGGGGGGAAGAAAAGCCGAAAUGGAUUCACGGUGCCUUGGAUGAAGGACGAGAGGGGAACUGCAAGCUCCUUCAACUGGUUCUGUCCGGUGAGAAGUGAUCAAGCUUGGGCUGACAAGAGGCUCAGGGAGCCCUCACGUUCUUUCGCUUUUUUACCUGCCAAUCAAACUGCUACAAGACAACACCCUGAUCUGGCAUGGACAUAUCCAACUUAGAAAUAAUGUUUCAUUCAAGAUAAGGCUCGUGGCUUAGGAGAUUGUGACCUGGCUUGCAUCAUUCUAAGACUUCUAUCGUCUGUUUUCAAAACCCAAGGAGGACCUCCUUUUCUGUGUGAUAGUUCCUCAUGCUUUGCCAGCCACUGGGUCUUUAAGGAAGCUUGCCAAGAGUUCCCGGCUGGGAAGGACAGUUCGAGUUCAUCAUAGACAAUGAGCUGGCACCACAGUUUAAGUGACUCACCAACCUGGUUGCCCACUUCAAAAUGUCAAGAACCACACUAUCUAAUUGAAAGA